rnacentral:rRNA from 1 species
UACGGAGGGGGCUAGCGUUGUUCGGAAUUACUGGGCGUAAAGCGUACGUAGGCGGCUUUGUAAGUUAGAGGUGAAAGCCCGGGGCUCAACCCCGGAAUUGCCUUUAAGACUGCAUCGCUUGAAUCAUGGAGAGGUGAGUGGAAUUCCGAGUGUAGAGGUGAAAUUCGUAGAUAUUCGGAAGAACACCAGUGGCGAAGGCGACUCACUGGACAUGUGUUGACGCUGAGGUACGAAAGCGUGGGGAGCAAACAGG